rnacentral:rRNA from 1 species
AUUGAACGCUGGCGGAAUGCUUUACACAUGCAAGUCGAGCGGCAGCGCGGGGCAACCUGGCGGCGAGCGGCGAACGGGUGAGUAAUACAUCGGAACGUACCCAGUUGUGGGGGAUAGCCCGGCGAAAGCCGGAUUAAUACCGCAUACGACCUGAGGGUGAAAGCGGGGGAUCGCAAGACCUCGCGCAGUUGGAGCGGCCGAUGGCGGAUUAGCUAGUUGGUAGGGUAAAGGCCUACCAAGGCGACGAUCCGUAGCGGGUCUGAGAGGACGACCCGCCACACUGGAACUGAGACACGGUCCAGACUCCUACGGGAGGCAGCAGUGGGGAAUUUUGGACAAUGGGGGAAACCCUGAUCCAGCCAUUCCGCGUGAGUGAAGAAGGCCUUCGGGUUGUAAAGCUCUUUCGGCAGGAACGAAACGGUUCGCCCUAAUACGGUGGGCUAAUGACGGUACCUGAAGAAGAAGCACCGGCUAACUACGUG